GUUUCUUCGUUUAAAAAGGAAGUUUCGGUAAAAUUUUCUAAAACAAUGAAAAUAGUUGUUCCACUGAUGUUAUCGUUUUCGAUUAUUUCCGUUGUAAAAUUGACAUCCUCAGUCGUAUUCUCGAUUGGAGGAUAUAAUGAACUUUUCAUCGAGUAUCGGGUUUAGAUAUAAAUUUGUUGGCAGCAGUGAAAAUUUUGGCAGAGCUGAAUUAUUCGGAACAAAAGGGUUCUUGAGAAAAUUAAUAAAACCAGAGGGGAAGUUUACCGUGCAAGCUGUAAACGCAGCUGCUUCCUGGGAUGAUAGCUCUCCAGCAGGCCCAAUAUCUCGAAGAAUACAGGGAACAGAUAUGUGAUUAGUGACAGCACGACUGUAAUUUCGUUUUGACGCCACCAAUUACUCUGUUCGAGUUCCUUGGAACUUCGUGCAACAAUUUUCACUACGACAUACGCCGACAAUCCCAAUAACGCUAUCACUGAUACAUUAACGAAGAUCCUCAUCAAUAUUAUCUUCCAACUAAAAUUUUAUCAUUAAAUUAGCAUUAAAUUCACGAAGCAAUAAUAAUGAAAUUAUAAUAAAAUCCACGUUAAAAUAAUUUCAAGUAUGAUAAAAUGUAAUUAGAAAUUAUAAAAAUUCAAUUAAAAUGAAUAUACAAAUAGUAGAUAUCUGUAGUAUCGUAUUUAAUAUUUACAUAUAUAAUUAUUUCACAAUAAAAUGUUCACUUUACAGUUUACAUAUUUUUACUAUUAAGUUUUGUAAAUUUAAUUACGAAAGUAAAAUGUAAAUGCAAAUUUGAUCAAAAAUCAAAAUGCCAAAAACUUUAUAAAGAUAUUAAUGGAAUAAUAAUGGAAUUUUUCGAAUGA